rnacentral:rRNA from 1 species
AGAAUGCCGGAAUGAGUAGCGAGAAUUAUGUGAGAAUCAUAAUGGCCGAAAAUCUAAGGUUUCCUGAGGAAGGUUCGUCCGCUCAGGGUAAGCCGGGGGCUAAGGCGAGGCGGAGACGCGUAGCCGAUGCACAUACGGUUGAAAUUCCGUAGCCACCGAAAGAUUUAAGUACAGGGACGCUUUAGAAGUGAUGUUGCCGGGCGAUGGUUGACCCGGUCGUAAGGGAUCGAAAAUGAGUAGAGAAGUCAUCAUGGAAAGAGACAAGAAAAGCUGUAUGAAUAUCUUAGGUGCCCGUACCGCAAACCGACACAGGUAGAUAGGAAGAAGAUUCUAAGGCCAACGGGAGAAGGGUUGUUAAGGAACUCGGCAAGUUGACCCCGUAACUUAGGGAUAAGGGGUGCUCAAGUGAUUGAGCCGCAGAGAAUAGGCCCAGGCGACUGUUUAGCAAAAACACAGGUCUCUGCUAAAUCGAAAGAUGACGUAUAGGGGCUGACACCUGCCCGGUGCCGGAAGGUUAAGAGGAGAUGUGAGAGCAUUGAAUUGAAGCCCCGGUAAACGGCGGCCGUAACGAUAACGGUCCUAAGGUAGCGAAAUUCCUUGUCAGGUAAGUUCUGACCCGCACGAAAGGUGUAACGAUCUGGGCACUGUCUCAACAACCCGCCCGGCGAAAUUGUAGUACCGGUGAAGAUGCCGGUUACCCGCGACUAGACGGAAAGACCCCAUGGAGCUUUACUGUAGCCUAAUAUUGGAUUUCGGUAUUUCACGUACAGGAUAGGUGGGAGACUGGGAAGCACAGGCGUCAGCUUGUGUGGAGUCGACCUUGGGAUACCACUCUUGGAGUGCUGGAAUUCUAACCUGCGGCUUUGAAGCAAGUCGGGGGACAUUGUUAGGUGGGCAGUUUGACUGGGGCGGUCGCCUCCUAAAGAGUAACGGAGGCGCUCAAAGGUUCGCUCUGCAUGGAUGGAAACCAUACGUCAGAGUGUAAACGCAAAAGCGAGCCUAACUGCGAGAAUGACGGUUCGAGCAGUAACGAAAGUUGGAGUUAGUGAUCCGGCGGUAUGUGAAUGGAAAUGCCGUCGCUCAACGGAUAAAAGCUUCCCUGGGGAUAACAGGCUGAUCUCCCCCAAGAGUCCACAUCGACGGGGAGGUUUGGCACCUCGAUGUCGGCUCAUCGCAUCCUGGGGCUGAAUUCGGUCCCAAGGGUUUGGCUGUUCGCCAAUUAAAGCGGUACGCGAGCUGGGUUCAGAACGUCGUGAGACAGUUCGGUCCCUAUCUGUCGUGGGCGUAGGAUAUUUGCAAGGAGCUGUCCCUAGUACGAGAGGACCGGGAUGGACGCACCUCUGGUGCACCAGUUGUCACGCCAGUGGCACAGCUGGGCAGCUAUGUGCGGAACGGAUAAACGCUGAAGGCAUCUAAGCGUGAAGCCGCCCUUAAGAUAAGAUAUCCCUUCUGUUUACAGAGUAAGACCCCUUGAAGACUACAAGGUUGUUAGGCUCAAAGUGUAAGCACGGUGACGUGUUUAGCUAGCGAGUACUAAUCGGUCGAGGGCUUAACCG